rnacentral:rRNA from 1 species
GACGAACGCUGGCGGCGUGCCUAAUACAUGCAAGUCGAACGAACCGCGACUAGGUGCUUGCACUUGGUCAAGGUGAGUGGCGAACGGGUGAGUAACACGUGGGUAACCUACCUCAUAGUGGGGGAUAACAGUCGGAAACGACUGCUAAUACCGCAUAGGACAUAGGAUCACAUGAUUCUGUGAGGAAAGGUGGCGCAAGCUAUCGCUAAGAGAUGGACCCGCGGUGCAUUAGCUAGUUGGUAGGGUAAAGGCCUACCAAGGCGAUGAUGCAUAGCCGACCUGAGAGGGUGAUCGGCCACAUUGGGACUGAGACACGGCCCAGACUCCUACGGGAGGCAGCAGUAGGGAAUCUUCCGCAAUGGACGCAAGUCUGACGGAGCAACGCCGCGUGAGUGAAGAAGGUCUUCGGAUCGUAAAGCUCUGUUGUUAGAGAAGAACAGCGCAUAGAGUAACUGUUAUGCGUGUGACGGUAUCUAACCAGAAAGCCACGGCUAACUACGUG